rnacentral:rRNA from 1 species
CCUACGGGCGGCAGCAGUGAGGAAUAUUGGUCAAUGGCCGAGAGUCUGAACCAGCCAAGCAGCGUGAAGGAUGACUGCCCAAUGGGUCGCAAACCUCUUUUACCUGGGGACAAAAUGUCCCACGCGUGGGAUCCUGUAUGUACCCUAUGAAUAAGCAUCGGCUAACUCCGUGCCAGCAGCCGCGGUAAUACGGAGGAUGCGAGCGUUAUCCGGAUUCAUUGGGUUUAAAGGGUGCGCAGGUGGGUUGUUAAGUCAGUUGUGAAAGUUCGCGGCUCAACCGUAAAAUUGCAGUGGAAACUGGCGGUCUUGAGUGCAGUAGAGGUAGGCGGAAUGCGUGGUGUAGCGGUGAAAUGCUUAGAUAUCGCGCAGAACUCCGAUUGCGAAGGCAGCGCACUGGGCUGCAACUGACACUGAGGCUCGAAAGUGUGGGGAUCGAACAGGAUUAGAUACCCGGGUAGUC